AGAGUUUGAUCCUGGCUCAGGAUGAACGCUAGCUACAGGCUUAACACAUGCAAGUCGAGGGGCAGCAUGUUGGUUGCUUGCAACCAAUGAUGGCGACCGGCGCACGGGUGAGUAACGCGUAUCCAACCUACCCAAUACUCAGGCAUAACCCGUUGAAAGACGGACUAAUUCCUGAUGGUAUGUAUUUUUCUCAUGAGUUAUACAUUAAAGAAUUUCGGUAUUGGAUGGGGAUGCGUCUGAUUAGUUUGUUGGUGAGGUAACGGCUCACCAAGACUUCGAUCAGUAGGGGUUCUGAGAGGAAGGUCCCCCACAUUGGAACUGAGACACGGUCCAAACUCCUACGGGAGGCAGCAGUGAGGAAUAUUGGUCAAUGGACGGAAGUCUGAACCAGCCAAGUAGCGUGCAGGAUGACGGCCCUAUGGGUUGUAAACUGCUUUUGUAUGGGGAUAAAGUCAAUCACGUGUGAUUGUUUGCAGGUACCAUACGAAUAAGGACCGGCUAAUUCCGUGCCAGCAGCCGCGGUAAUACGGAAGGUCCAGGCGUUAUCCGGAUUUAUUGGGUUUAAAGGGAGCGUAGGCUGGAGAUUAAGUGUGUUGUGAAAUGUAGACGCUCAACGUCUGACUUGCAGCGCAUACUGGUUUCCUUGAGUACGCACAACGUUGGCGGAAUUCGUCGUGUAGCGGUGAAAUGCUUAGAUAUGACGAAGAACUCCGAUUGCGAAGGCAGCUGACGGGAGCGCAACUGACGCUUAAGCUCGAAGGUGCGGGUAUCGAACAGGAUUAGAUACCCUGGUAGUCCGCACAGUAAACGAUGGAUGCUCGCUGUUGGCCUUUUUGGUCAGUGGCUUAGCGAAAGCGUUAAGCAUCCCACCUGGGGAGUACGCCGGCAACGGUGAAACUCAAAGGAAUUGACGGGGGCCCG
rnacentral:rRNA from 1 species